CUAAAUGUAGAGGUCUAAUCUCACCAAGUAUCUAAUAUUUAAUGCUUUCAUUUUAUAAACAAAGAUGAACGUAAAGCAGGGUCAUUCAUUCAUUCCUACAGGCAAACAUGAAUUCAUGCAUUCAUUCCAUACACUUUUUUUUUUUUUUGGUGCUGGGGAUUGAACCCACGGCCUUGUGCUAGCGAGACAAGCACUCUACCAACUGAGCUACACCCCCAGCCCCUCACCCAUAUUCUUGAAUGUGUCAUCUAUUCCAGUUGAAGUGGAUGAUGCCCUUCUAUUUUGGACGCACUACUUACAUUUCAAGCUCACUACGUACAUUCUAACACUGAGAAAUGAACCAGCAUUAAAAAUGUCGUCAAGAAAAACUCAUUUGUAAUGACAUGUUGGGAUAAAAAUGGAGCUUCUACAACUCCUCCUGUUUAAGGAUCUCAAAUAUAUAAAAGCCUGAUCAUUUCCAGAGGCAGCACGUGUGUGCUGAGGGUUUUGUGUCUGGGCUGGCAGAGGGCAGGCCAGCUCUCCUAAUUCUUUGCCAUGAAACCCUUCCUGGAGGAGCGGGAGCAAGGUUGGCCUCUUUGCUCUGUCUGAACCUG
rnacentral:lncRNA from 1 species